UACGUAGGGUGCGAGCGUUAAUCGGAAUUACUGGGCGUAAAGCGUGCGCAGGCGGUCUUGUAAGACAGGUGUGAAAACCCCGGGCUUAACCUGGGAACUGCAUUUGUGACUGCAAGGCUGGAGUACGGUAGAGGGGGAUGGAAUUCCGCGUGUAGCAGUGAAAUGCGUAGAUAUGCGGAGGAACACCGAUGGCGAAGGCAGUCCCCUGGACCUGUACUGACGCUCAUGCACGAAAGCGUGGGGAGCAAACAGG
rnacentral:rRNA from 1 species